rnacentral:rRNA from 1 species
CAGCACCGCGGUAAUACGUAGGGUGCAAGCGUUAAUCGGAAUUACUGGGCGUAAAGCGUGCGCAGGCGGUUUUGUAAGACAGAGGUGAAAUACCCGGGCUCAACCUGGGAACUGCCUUUGUGACUGCAAGGCUAGAGUACGGCAGAGGGGGAUGGAAUUCCGCGUGUAGCAGUGAAAUGCGUAGAUAUGCGGAGGAACACCGAUGGCGAAGGCAAUCCCCUGGGCCUGUACUGACGCUCAUGCACGAAAGCGUGGGGAGCAAACAGGAUUAGAUACCCCUGUAGUCCCUGUCUCUUAUACC